GAUGAACGCUGGCGGUAUGCUUUACACAUGCAAGUCGUACGGAAAGUAUCUGAAUUUAUUCGUUUACUUUUAGUGGCGGACGGGUGAGUAACGCGUGAGAAUCUGCCCUCAGGAGGGGGACAACAGUUGGAAACGACUGCUAAUACCCCAUAUGCCGCGAGGUGAAAUGAAUUUCGCCUGAGGAUGAGCUCGCGUCUGAUUAGCUAGUUGGUGUAGGUAAUGGCUCACCAAGGCAUCGAUCAGUAGCUGGUCUGAGAGGAUGAUCAGCCACACUGGGACUGAGACACGGUCCAGACUCCUACGGGAGGCAGCAGUGGGGAAUUUUCCGCAAUGGGCGAAAGCCUGACGGAGCAAUACCGCGUGAGGGAAGACUGCCUAUGGGUUGUAAACCUCUUUUUUCAGGGAGGAAUAAAUGACGUGUACCUGAAGAAUAAGCAUCGGCUAACUCCGUG
rnacentral:rRNA from 1 species